rnacentral:rRNA from 1 species
UAGUGGCGAACGGGUGAGUAACACGUGGGCAAUCUGCCCUUCACUCUGGGACAAGCCCUGGAAACGGGGUCUAAUACCGGAUAACACUCUGUCCCGCAUGGGACGGGGUUGAAAGCUCCGGCGGUGAAGGAUGAGCCCGCGGCCUAUCAGCUUGUUGGUGGGGUGAUGGCCUACCAAGGCGACGACGGGUAGCCGGCCUGAGAGGGCGACCGGCCACACUGGGACUGAGACACGGCCCAGACUCCUACGGGAGGCAGCAGUGGGGAAUAUUGCACAAUGGGCGAAAGCCUGAUGCAGCGACGCCGCGUGAGGGAUGACGGCCUUCGGGUUGUAAACCUCUUUCAGCAGGGAAGAAGCGAGAGUGACCGGUACCUGCAGAAGAAGCGCCGGCUAACUACGUGCCAGCAGCCGCGGAAAUACGUAGGGCGCAAGCGUUGNCCGGAAUUAUUGGGCGUAAAGAGCUCGUAGGCGGCUUGUUGCGUCGGUUGNGAAAGCCCGGGNCUUAACCCCGGGUCUGCAGUCGAUACGGGCAGGCUAGAGUGGGGUAGGGGGAGAUCGNAAUUCCU